rnacentral:rRNA from 1 species
GACGAACCGUGCGAACGUUGUUCGGAAUCACUGGGCUUAAAGGGCGCGUAGGCGGGCUCUCGAGUCAGGGGUGAAAGCCCGCGGCCCAACCGCGGAAGUGCCCCUGAUACUGGGGGCCUCGAGGGAGGUAGGGGCGUGCGGAACUUCCGGUGGAGCGGUGAAAUGCGUAGAUAUCGGAAGGAACACCGGUGGCGAAAGCGGCGCGCUGGACCUCUUCUGACGCUGAGGCGCGAAAGCCAGGGGAGCAAACGGG